CCCUUAGAUGUUCUGGGCCGCACGCGCGCUACACUGAUGCAUUCAACGAGUCUAAAACCUGCUCUGAUAGGGGUGGGUAAUCUUUUGAAUGUGCAUCGUGAUUGGGAUAGAUGAUUGCAAUUUUUCAUCUUCAACGAGGAAUGCCUAGUAAACGCAAGUCAUCAGCUUGCAUUGAUUACGUCCCCGCCCUUUGUACACACCGCCCGUCGCUCCUACCGAUUGAAUGAUCCGAUGAAUAUCAUGGAUUGAGGAUGCAAGCAGGUUCGCCUGUCUUCAUCUUCGAGAAGUGAAGUAAAUCUUAUCAUUUAGAGGAAGGAGAAGUCGUAACA
rnacentral:rRNA from 1 species